rnacentral:tRNA from 1 species
GGUGGGGGUGGCCAUGGUUGGCAGCGGGCCUGCAAAGCCGGUCGACGCGGGUUGAAUCCCGUCUCCACCU